UUAGUGCCAAGGCUUCUUUAGCAUAACAACUGUCUUUAGCCAUUCUCAGGCCGUGGUUGUUUGCAGAAACUGCUACACUGUGUUGGGCCAGCCUACUGGUGGACAUGCUAGAAACACGGGACUCGGGGAAUGCCUAAUACCUUAUUUUUGGUCAACAUAAUUCCUUAUCCGGUCUUUUAUUUUGGCAGACCAAUAAUAGAAGAGUGAUUUCCUUUUGAUUAGAGAUUCAAUAAGGUGACUUGGAACACCAAAACUCAAUUCUAAGUGGCGACUCUGUAAAUAGGAAUUGUUUGGAGCUCAAGAAUCAUUUGGAGUUCUUAAUUCUUGUAUUGAAUUCUUCUACAUUCUAUCCUUCUAUUGUAACCCAUCUGAAUAUCAAUAAAAUUCCACAAUUUGUUCCAA